UUUCAUGCAUAUCUUAACUAUUUACGUACUAUCAAAACACUUACCACGCAUACUUACCGAAUUGGGCCCGUUGGCCCAUGAACCCAAUCUUUGGCCCAUUAAGCCCAAAUUAUCAAAAUGUACGAAAUCGCUCGUACUGCAGUUUAUUACUUUAGAUUACCAAAUAUACAAACCCAACUAUUUUACGAGCAUUCGCACACUCGAAAAUUUCCAAAAUACUGACUUUUCG
rnacentral:lncRNA from 1 species